rnacentral:lncRNA from 1 species
AGAGGAGUCCUAAGGAAGCUAUGACUCUGCUUGGCAGUCUGAAAAAUAAAGACUGUAUAGAAAGAAUAGGUCCACUGUCAAUGUUAGAAAAUAUUUAGAAGUUAAAUUAGUAGAAGAAACAUGGUGACCAUAUGAAGGGUGAAAACAAAACACAAAUUUGUGACUAGCCACAAUAACAACUUAUAAAAGAUUCAUUUUCAAAUUAAAUCCUUUCUAAAGGAGUAAGAAUAUGAAUUCUACAGGAAAAAUAGAAACAACUAUCUACAAUCGUCAUGAACAAAACAGUUUUCAGACUGACUACCUGAAGUUCAUUUUCUUUUCUCCUUUACCUCCAACUUCCAAGGAUUUCCUCCUAACUCUUAAGUGAAAUCUUUUUGCAAGGUGCAGAGCUUGGAAGGUUGCUAGUCAGUCCUCAUCUUCAGAACACUACUGCCUCUCAUCCUUAUCACAAUGGCAUUAGGAUUUUCAGUAGAAGGUCCUCAUCAGUCUUUACCAAAGGUAUGUGUGCGAAGAGCCAAUUCCCCUUCACCUUGGAAAUACUGAGUCAGUCAUUUCAUCUUGGAGAUACAUUUAGUGCUUGGUGUUGAAAGGUUAUGGAAAUAUAGGAAAUUUCAAGAGGAAAAAUUGAAUCACUACACUAUAUUGUAAGGGAAGAGAAAAACACUUUGCACAGAUGGUACAAAACAAUUCUGUAAAGUUCCAUUGUCUUUUGCUUCAGUGUAACUCUGAGCCUUUUGACCUAAAAAUGUCCCUUCUAAAUGUGAGGAAAAAAAUCCGGAAGCCUUUGUGUGAAAUUUUAAUUCAAUUAGUUUCUUACCAAUUUGAUGCAGCAACUGAGGACCUACAGCCUCUGAUUAAUAUGCUGAUGCUAAGACACAAGAGUGAACAGAAUGCCCAUUUGGAUAAGGCUUGGCAGCAAAGCAUGUCAUCACCAUGGAAACCACAGAAAACCAUUAAUUAGCUAUCAAAUAAAAUCAUUGGAAAAUUCUAGACCAUGGCAUAUCUGCCCUCUUUAAAGUAGAGGGCAAGGAGAGGGUCACACUAACAGUAAUUCUCUCUUCAGAGAUUAAAAUAGUUAUAUAGAAACUACAUCUUGCAAUGUGGAAGAAAUGUUGGUCUGUAAAACUAACAAACACAAAAACAAUCAUACUUUGAGUUUAUUCUAGUAGAAUAAUAAAAUCUCUAAUAUGUUGUUCCUUCAUUGGUUGUAUAAACUAAAAUAAAAUUAUGUUAAUAAUUCA